CUAAUACUCCCUUCGUCCAACAGAAAAUGUAUCAAGUUUGUCAAAAUUUGAAUGUAUCUAAACAUUAUUUAGUUAUAAAUGCAUUCAAAUUUGGUCAAAAUCGAGACAUCUUUUAUUGGACGGAGUGAGUAUAAU
rfam:Brachypodium distachyon strain Bd21 chromosome 1, whole genome shotgun sequence.